UACGUAGGGGGCAAGCGUUGUCCGGAAUCAUUGGGCGUAAAGAGCGUGUAGGCGGCCCGAUAAGUCCGCUGUGAAAGUCCAGGGCUCAACCCUGGAAUGCCGGUGGAUACUGUCGGACUAGAGUACGGAAGAGGCGAGUGGAAUUCCUGGUGUAGCGGUGAAAUGCGCAGAUAUCAGGAGGAACACCAAUUGCGAAGGCAGCUCGCUGGGACGUUACUGACGCUGAGACGCGAAAGCGUGGGGAGCAAACAGG
rnacentral:rRNA from 1 species